CCAGCACAGCCUCACCAUCAACCUUGGAAAUCUCUCUCGCCUUUUACUAGAGUAGAUCCAGGUGGUGUGGCAACUGUCGCAUUAACCGAUUUUUGUGGCCUCUCGUAGGC
rfam:Nannochloropsis gaditana CCMP526 unplaced genomic scaffold scaffold1077, whole genome shotgun sequence.